GAUGUUCGCUGACUCGUGUAGGAGACUAAGGAUCAUGAAAGGCUCCGAGGCAAUUGGGCUAGCUCCAAGAGGUAUCCAAAAAUCUUGGAGCCAAUACUAGUGCAGAAAAUUCUGUUGGACCAAAGUGGAGACUUAACUGAUAUGCAUAUAUAAUGGUUUUUAAGCACGUUUGAGUUAAUUAUGGUUAUGUUCCAAAUCAAAAAUAUAUGUAUAACUUAGACAUGUCAAUCUGUAAUUCACUUCUGCCUGCUACAGAAGUAUCAUCACAUAGCAUGAGAUUCUAAACUUAGACAAGUUUUCAUAUUAAUUGGUUGUGUACAUAUACAAGGAUGUUACAAAGUAUGGUAAACAAGGUAUUUGUCUUUCUUUAAUUGCCCAUAUUGUUUUAUCAAAGCCCACAUCGGCUGCAGCAUAUAUGAAAGUAAACUGCUUACUGUAUAAAUAAUAUGAGCCUGCUUAUGUUGAAAUACGGAACCGUGUGAUGAGCACAAAGUGAACUAUUCUUUCGCCUUUUACUAAAGAAUACCGUGUGCUCUUCACUGAUAGCGGUAUACACGUAUUUUUGAAAGUGUUCUCUAAAUAGAGAGCACUGCAUUGAUAGUUAAAAUUUUGAAAUAAAAUGUUUUUAAUGAAAUGCAAGUUUUUUAAUUGUUUUGAAUUAUAUUACUUGGCUAUCUUGAAAUAUUGAAUUUAGUAUUUGUUAAGCUUUGGAUUAAAUUAAUCAUAAACUGUUUAAAAUGAAGAAAUUAUAUAUAAUUAAUCAACAAAGUAAACAAUUAACAAGUUGCUGACAUAUGGUGAUGAAAUCUUUGACCUGUGAGCUCAACUAAGAUGUCUAUGCAACUCUUGUUACAUUAUGCUGAGAAAGGUAUAUCUGCAUAUAUUCAACUUGUAUUCAUUGCUUCUUGAA